UACGAAGGGUCCAAGCGUUAUCCGGAUUUAUUGGGUUAAAGGGUGCGUAGGCGGCUUAUUAAGUCAGUGGUGAAAGCCUUCAGCUUAACUGAAGAAUUGCCAUUGAUACUGAUUAGCUUGAGUAUAUUUGAGGCUGGCGGAAUGUGUCAUGUAGCGGUGAAAUGCUUAGAUAUGACACAGAACACCGAUUGCGAAGGCAGCUGGCUAAACUAUAACUGACGCUGAUGCACGAAAGCGUGGGGAGCAAACAGG
rnacentral:rRNA from 1 species